rnacentral:lncRNA from 1 species
AUGCUACUAACUGGACCAAUUGUGUAUCUUAUACAGCAACACACUGGUUCAAGCGUUGACACAGAGGCUAAGGUUGAAGGUUCAGGGACUAAGCUGUCAGCUGCUGAGGGAGGAGACGUACCAGAAUGCCCUGAAAACAUCGAAAAGACCGGAGACAAUCAAGAAUCUGAGGACCGCGUUGAACCUUCACCAAAAAUGAUAAACAAUGCAAACCCAACAGUUGCUGCAAGGGACAGGCUCACAAUCUUCUUUCAUGCGGUUUUGCCAAAGGAAUUUGAACUUGAGAAGGCCGACCGAAUAUUUAUCAGAGCUGGCAAACAUCUUGGGACAUGGAACGAGGACUUGGUUGAGGUUUUUACGACCAAUGAUCAUGGGAAGUUUGGACAUUUAGUUGGGGGAAAAUUUGUGACCACAAAAAAAAACACCCUGGAUAACAGCAUACCAUACAAAUAUGUUGUCUACAAGGCCAAAAAGAAAAAAUAUAUAUAUGAAUACAUUUACAAAUUAGAUUCAGAGCAUAUAACAAAUCGAUGUUUGUUUGUGAAGUCCAAACUCCUCAAUGAGGAAGGUAAGAGGUGCAACAAUUCUUUGUUCAUUCGUUACAUUUUCAUACGUGCAUAAGUACAUGUCCAAUUAAACAUGUGAUAUAUUUUUAUGUGAAAGGGGACUGGCAUCAGUAUGAUGACAUCGUCUAUCUAUCCAAGGAUGGAUACAAACACAUAAAUCAGAAGAAUGUCGUCCGAGGCAGAGAGAUUGCAGGAACCAUCAUGCUAGACACAAUAUUUGAUCUCCUUCGGAAUUGGACUGACAUCAACUUGAAGAAUUUCUUCAUCCAAUUGAAACAGUUCUUUGACAUUUAUGGAAACCCAUUUGUGUAUGAGGAGGACACAUCGAAAAAGUGGAACUCUCUCAAAUUUGGAGAGAAGGAAGUAAGGACUUUUCUUCAUAUAUAUAUAUACAUAUAAAAAAAAUGCUAACAUUGUUUGCAGUAAGGAAUAUU